CCUACGGGAGGCUGCAGUGGGGAAUAUUGCACAAUGGGGGAAACCCUGAUGCAGCGACGCCGCGUGAGUGAAGAAGUAAUUCGUUAUGUAAAGCUCUAUCAGCAGGGAAGAAAAUGACGGUACCUGAGUAAGAAGCCCCGGCUAACUACGUGCCAGCAGCCGCGGUAAUACGUAGGGGGCAAGCGUUAUCCGGAUUUACUGGGUGGAAAGGGAGCGUAGACGGAAGUGAAAGUCUGGAGUGAAAGGCGGGGGCUCAACCCCCGGACUGCCCUGGAAACUGUACGGCUGGAGUGCAGGAGAGGUAAGUGGAAUUCCUAGUGUAGCGGUGAAAUGCGUAGAUAUUAGGAGGAACACCAGUGGCGAAGGCGGCUUACUGGACUGUAACUGACGUUGAGGCUCGAAAGCGUGGGGAGCAAACAGGAUUAGAUACCCGAGUAGUC
rnacentral:rRNA from 1 species